UACGUAGGGGGCAAGCGUUGUCCGGAAUCAUUGGGCGUAAAGCGCGCGUAGGCGGCCCGGUAAGUCCGUUGUGAAAGUCAAAGGCUCAACCUUUGAAUGCCGAUGGAUACUGCCGGGCUAGAGUCCGGAAGAGGCGAGUGGAAUUCCUGGUGUAGCGGUGGAAUGCGCAGAUAUCAGGAGGAACACCAAUAGCGAAGGCAGCUCGCUGGGACGGUACUGACGCUGAGGCACGAAAGCGUGGGGAGCAAACAGG
rnacentral:rRNA from 1 species